UUUGUCUCUUUUGAUUUUUCACUCAGAGCUAAUUUUAAGGGAAGUCUUCAGGAGACACAAAAGAUUUACAAUUGCAAGAAAAAUUACAUCUUUAGCUCUUAGGUUGCUUUGCAAAAUAAUUAAAUGUUGGCCUUUUACUUUUAUAAAGACCCAGUUUAAAUGACUUAGCCCAGGUCACCUGAAAAUCAUUGGUAAAAAUGACGUGUAGUCAAGCUGUGCUUCCAGAGUUACGCCCUUGAGAUCAAGGGAGUGAGAAUACAUCUUAUUCCAUAAACUUCAGGCAAUGUUGCAAGGGUUUGUGAAGACUUGGCCAGCUCUCCGUUGACAAUGGCCAAGGAAUAGAAGCUCUAGACCUCCCUUAUUUCUAUCGUGAAAACAGAGGUAUAUCCAAGUGAGGGACUACAACAGUAAUAAAGGGAAAAAAGUAUUUAAUUCCAAAAUAAAAUUGAAAAUAACCUCCUGUCUCAGCCUCUUUUUGGGAAUAUCUAGAAGGAGUGGAAAACCAUCUCUGGCUAUGAGACUUGUAUCACUACCCCUUUCUCCCUGGGGCGACAGGUAGAGGCUGUUGUAACCAUUUUGAACCUUGUCCUGGAGUGGCUUGUUGCUUUUCAGUUAAAGAGCUUGAGUGAGCCUGUCUGGGCCUCUGGCAGACCCAGGAAAUCUCUGGGAAAACAAGAGGCACUUGAACACUAGUGGCAGUAACAACACAUAGUGGCCUAAUGUCCAGUUUCUUUCAAGUUGAAAAGAAAAUAAAAAGAAAUCCAGACCACUGAAAAUGGAUCUGGCCAAUGAUGUUCACAGAAGAGAAAGGAAGUUUUUCAAGAUUGUGGGGUGAAGUGGAGGGAGAGAGGGAGGGGAGAGGGUAGACAGGGAGGAGCAGAGGAUAAAGCCAGUACUCUCUUGUUUGGUCAUAAACUUGCCUAUCUGGUGAUAAGAUUCCAAUGAUGGGAAUCCCUUUAACCUUUUGAGGGACUCCCCAGGCACUUAACUCAUCCUAAAUAGCAACUGCAUCAAGAACAGACACUGGUGUGUUUAAGUUUACAAAUACAGCCAUAAAAAUGUCAAACAGGAUCUACAUGG
rnacentral:lncRNA from 1 species